rnacentral:ncRNA from 1 species
GUUUUGUGCGGCGAAUAGUUGACGAACAAGAAGCCGCGCUCCUGAUCGAUGAUGUGGAAAAGCGGGUUCCAGAUGAACCAGGGCAUCAUGAAAUUGGGCAGGACAUUGGCGACGAACAUCUUGCCCGAGGCGAACAUGUUGAUGCGCUG